UACGUAGGGAGCAAGCGUUGUCCGGAAUCAUUGGGCGUAAAGCGCGCGUAGGUGGCCAUGUAAGUCCGCUGUGAAAGUCACAGGCUCAACCUUUGAAAGCCGGUGGAUACUGCAUGGCUAGAGUACGGAAGAGGCGAGUGGAAUUCCUGGUGUAGCGGUGGAAUGCGCAGAUAUCAGGAGGAACACCAAUAGCGAAGGCAGCUCGCUGGGACGUUACUGACACUGAGGCGCGAAAGCGUGGGGAGCGAACAGG
rnacentral:rRNA from 1 species